GAGCGGGCGUAGCAAUACGUCAGCGGCAGACGGGUGAGUAACGCGUGGGAACGUACCUUUUGGUUCGGAACAACCCAGGGAAACUUGGGCUAAUACCGGAUAAGCCCUCACGGGGAAAGAUUUAUCGCCAAAAGAUCGGCCCGCGUCUGAUUAGCUAGUUGGUGAGGUAAUGGCCCACCAAGGCGACGAUCAGUAGCUGGUCUGAGAGGAUGAUCAGCCACAUUGGGACUGAGACACGGCCCAAACUCCUAUGGGAGGCAGCAGUGGGGAAUAUUGGACAAUGGGCGCAAGCCUGAUCCAGCCAUGCCGCGUGAGUGAUGAAGGCCCUAGGGUUGUAAAGCUCUUUUGUGCGGGAAGAUAAUGACGGUAUCGCAAGAAUAAGCCCCGGCUAACUUGGUGCCAGCAGCCGCGGUAAU
rnacentral:rRNA from 1 species